rnacentral:rRNA from 1 species
UACGAAGGGUGCAAGCGUUAACCGGAAUUACUGGGCGUAAAGCGUGCGUAGGUGGUUUGUUAAGUCUGCUGUGAAAGCCCUGGGCUCAACCUGGGAAUGGCGGUGGAUACUGACAAGCUAGAGUGCGGUAGAGGAGGGUGGAAUUCCCGGUGUAGCGGUGAAAUGCGUAGAGAUCGGGAGGAACAUCAGUGGCGAAGGCGGCCCUCUGGACCAGCACUGACGCUGAGGCACGAAAGCGUGGGGAGCAAACAGG